UGGUCAUUACCAAGGCUAUCAGAAGUACAAUUUCUGAUUUGCUGUGGACAUGACCGUAGACUAAUUCUCAGCGGGUUUUAAAUCGCUAUUUUAUUAGCACAAACCUGUGGAGAAACAUGC